rnacentral:rRNA from 1 species
UGCCAGCCGCCGCGGUAAUACGGAGGGUCCAAGCGUUAUCCGGAUUUAUUGGGUUUAAAGGGUCCGUAGGCGGGACUUUAAGUCAGUGGUGAAAGCCUGCAGCUUAACUGUAGAAUUGCCAUUGAUACUGAAGUUCUUGAAUCUAGCUGAAGUGGGCGGAAUAUAACAUGUAGCGGUGAAAUGCAUAGAGAUGUUAUAGAACACCAAUUGCGAAGGCAGCUCACUAAACUAGUAUUGACGCUCAGGGACGAAAGCGUGGGGAGCGAACAGGAUUAGAUA